rnacentral:lncRNA from 1 species
CAUAUUGAAAUCUGGCAAUAUCACACAAAACGAAGUGUAGGGGGGCGUUUUUCCUUCUGAAGUUUAGUAUUAUUUUUACCGUGAAACAGUGCAGAUGGUGCCGGUUAUAAAGGAUUUAUAUGUGAUCUAGUAUCAUGUGGGCCAUUAACUGAAAAAGAAGUGUUAAAAAUUUUGCCCGGAGCCAUCGGUAGGAAGCCAUAUAUUGCUACAUGAACCUCAGUUAAUCAGUGUUCAAACCUCAGUUACGCCAAGGCGUGUGAGGAUACGACGGAGGGAAAGGAUGACUUCAGCUCUUUUACAAUUUCUUCUAGGAGAUCCAUUGUUGAUAACUGAAACAAAAUAUGGAAUUCUUCAGUUGGGUGUCCUUCUUCCGGUGAGCUUUGAUCUUGUCAUGGCAGAGUAGCGUGCUGGUAAGGGAAACGUCUUCGGCCAGUUUCCGCAAUACCAUCGUCAUCUUGUAGAAUUUUAGAUUUGAUCCGCCUGCCAACUACACACAUAGUGAUUAUUAUGUAUUCAAUAUGUAUGAUUGUACAAAUUAAAUUACCUUGUUCCAUU